CGCCGCGUGAGUGAUGAAGGUCUUCGGAUCGUAAAACUCUGUUAUUAGGGAAGAACAAAUGUGUAAGUAACUAUGCACGUCUUUCGGUACGUAAUCAGAAAGCCGCGGUUAAUUACGUACCAACAGCCGCGGUAAUGCGUAGGUGGCAAGCGUUAUCCGGAAUUAUUGGGCGUAAAGCGGCGUAGGCGGUUUUGUAGUGUGAUGUGAAACCCUCGGCUCAACCGUGGAGGGUCAUUGGAAACUGGAAAACUUGAGUGCAGAAGAGGAAAGUGGAAUUCCAUGGGUAGCGGUGAAAUGCCCAGAAAUAUGGAGGAGCUCCAGUGGCGAAGGCGACUUUCUGGUCUGUAACUGGCGCUGAUGUGCGAAAGCGUGGGGAUCAAACAGGAUUAGAUCCCCUGGUAGUCCACGCCGUAACCGAUGAGUG
rnacentral:rRNA from 1 species